rnacentral:tRNA from 1 species
GGCCUAGUGGUCUAGUGGUAUGAUUCUCGCUUUGGGUGCGAGAGGUCCCGGUUCACCGGCUGGGCCC